GACGAACGCUGGCGGCGUGCUUAACACAUGCAAGUNGAACGUGAAAGGGGCUUCGGCCUGAGUAAAGUGGCGCACGGGUGAGUAACACGUGGAUAAUCUACCCGAUGGNCCGGGAUANCACUNGAAAGGGGUGCUAAUACCGGAUAAGCCCACAGGCUCUUUGGAGNUGCGGGAAAAGGUGGGGNCCUUCGGGCCUACCGUCAUCGGAUGANUCCGCGNCCCAUNAGCUAGUUGGNUGGGGUAAUGGCCUACCAAGGCAACGAUGGUAGCUGUUCUGAGAGGAUGAUCAGCCCACACCUGGGAACUGAGACACGGUCCCAGACUCCUACGGGAGNCAGCAGUGGGGAAUUUUUGNNNNNNGGGNNNAANNGCCUGACGCAGCAACGCCGCGUGAGUGAUGAAGGCCCUCGGGUCGUAAAGCUCUGUCAGAGGGGAAGAAACUUUGAGGGAGAAUAUCCCUGAAACU
rnacentral:rRNA from 1 species